CGCCCUGCCCAGGGAUCAAACCAGCAGCCUUAGCCUUCCGGUGUCCGGAACGACGCCCAGCCCACUGAGCCACACAGGUCAGGGCAAGAGUCUUCGCUGUCAAGUUGGCCGCAGAGUUGGCAGGCACUCGGAGAGCACAGCCUGCUGCACGGGUGAUGGCAGGGCCAGGCCCCCAGGGCCCCAGGGCCCCCCCCACCCCGUGGGAGAAGUGACAGCCCGGUGUGAAGGGAUGGGACACAGACACAGAGUAGGCGGCAGGGCCCGGGGGCGGGGGCGGGGGCGGCGAGCGUGCCACGGGGCAGAGGCUUAGUUCGAGAGAUGGAAGAAUUCUGUGGGUCGAGGGCGGUCACAGCUGCACGGCCCUGUGAGUGUGCCCAGGGCCACUGAGCUGCGCCCUGAGGAACGGCCAACAUGAUGGGUUUCGUGUUGCAUAUAUUUUAAAUAGCAGCAAUAAUAACGAGGCGGAGGCGCGGGAGGAGGAGAUCGGCUUGGUCUAGGGCUACCUCUUUCGGCUCCGGCCUGAUGGGAGAAGCAGGCCAGACGGAAGGUCUUGUCCCCGCAGACAAGUUGCCGCUCCCCGCCCCGCACCCGCCCCCUCGCGGGACAGUGACCUUCAGGAUGAAGCCGCCCCCUGCCUGGCCCUCACCUUCCAGGCCUUCUCCCAGGACCUGCUGGGCAGCUUCAGCGUCUCCGGGUUGGGAGGCGCGCCCCGCCCAGGAAUUCGCGGGGGCGUCCGGGUUAGGAGGUGCUGCAGCCCAGCCAGGCUCUCAGGUGUUCCCUAGACGGCCGGCGGCGGCGGCGGCAGCGGGACCAGAAGCGGGCACCGCGGCCCUGACGCGCCAGAGCCACCUGGCCCCACCGGGUCCGCCAGGCCCGCCCCCUGACGCCCCGGGUCCACAUGGAUGCACAGGAACCCGAAGACCUUGGGCGCGCGCUGCAGGGCGCGGUUCUUCCACCUGCGUGGUCCGGAGGAAGGAGACCUGCUGGGUACCGGACACCGCGGCUGGCCGUGGGCGGUGGUCUUCACACCGCGAGGAGGCGGGUUCUGGGCGGCCAGCGGCCAGUCUGUGGCGGGCAGAAAAGUCUACUUCAGGGACUUGAGGAACAUUUUCAAGCUCUGACUGCAACAUUAAAUCUCAGAAUGGAGGAGAUGGGGAGGCGCCUCCAGGACCUGCAGAGGAACGUGGACGAGCUGAUGGUGCAAGCCGGGGUCACGGAAGCCGCCGAGGAGCAGACGGUGAGGCCGUGGCUAGGGACCACGUUCUCCUACGGGUUCCUGCAGAGCCUGCGAUCACUUUCGUCUUGAAAACGCAGUCCCACCUUUGCUCACUGCGGGGGUCCCUCCCUUCGUACCUGGAAACCUUCAGAGUAACGAGGCUCUCACAAAUGCUCCUUUCAAAAUGUACCAGCCGAGCCCUGGCCCGGCCUCUCAGUGGGUUAGAGCGUCGUCCCGGUAAGCCAAGGUGUCGGGUUCGAUCCCCGGUCGGGGUGCAGACAGGAAACAACCGCUGAGUGCACCAGUGAGUGGAACAGCAAGUUGAUGUUGUUUCUCUCUCUCUCUCUCCCCCCUCAAAAUCACCACCUGGGAAAUCGCCCACACUUGCCUGCUAAACCAGAGCCAGUCCACGGUCCAAGACGUAAAGGUCUCCAUCCGGAGCACACUGGGGAGGGCUCUCAAACGCUGCCGUGGGUGAAGACGCACCUGUCCUCCUCGCGGAGGCUGCAUCAGACGGGCCCACCUGCCCUGCGGUCCCUUCUAGGCCUCCUGGACACUGGGCCAUCCCUCUGAGGGCUCGCUGGGGAAAGGCCAGUGCCCGAGGGCAGGGGCAGUGGGCCCGGUUCUGCAAGACCCCCAGUGGGCACACCCCCAGGCGUGGGAUGGCGGUGCGGGACUGAGUUCCUUCCGUCAUCACCUCGACUCCAGCCGGGUUUUAAAUCUGGCCAAACCACACUAAAUACUGGGCAUCAAACUGCAUGGUUCGGUGCGUAUCAAGACCUCACUUUCUGAUGCUCCUGCAGCCAUUCUUCAAAGCAGCAGAGAGGAGCCGCCAGGAAUCUAAGUCCGCUCAGAAAAACGUCAAUGCCUUUGACAUGAAAAGGCCUAAAUAAAUGUGGGUCUGGUUGGCUAAACCUGUGCUUGUUGGUGAUGUUAGGUCAGGGCCUGUGCCACGGGUUUCAGGGGAUUCAUUUGGCAAACCCCCAAACUCGUGUUCCUGUUGUGGGCAUUCUGAGUGGGACGAGAGUCCAUGACCCACGUGACGUCAGAAACCACUGUUCUACGUUCGGAAGGACCAGGCUCCUGGCCAGUGUCUGCAUUACACUACACCUGUGACACCUGUACCACGUCUCCUUCCACAGACAGGAGGGGGCUCUCCAGACCCCUGGGACCCCGGCGAUGGAAAGCAGACGCGAGGCGCCCUGCUAACUGGUCCUCACCGGGUGUCCUCGUUGACCCCGCCUGACUGAAACGAAGGUCGCUCGUCGUCAGGUUUUUCUGCACCCUGGAGUUUCCCCACGCAAAGGGUGUUUCCGUCGUCAUCACAGGGGACGAAGGCACCUCCAUCGAAAGCUUGGGCCCCGGUUUAUUUGACUGGGCGUUAACUGGUGCGUAAGCUGAUCUUUGCCUCUUUUCAACUUCUCCCUCACCCCCGCAGACAGCGGACCAGUCACUUGAAAAUGUGAUAAAAUGAAAACUUCUCUUUUAAAAUAUAUUUUGUUGAUUAUGCUGUUAGAGUUGUCCCAUUUUCUCCCCUGUAUUCCCCUCCACCCUGCACACCCCAUCCACCCAAUUC